rnacentral:rRNA from 1 species
CACGAACGCUGGCGGCAGGCUUAACACAUGCAAGUCGAGCGCCCCGCAAGGGGAGCGGCAGACGGGUGAGUAACGCGUGGGAAUCUACCCAUCUCUACGGAAUAACGCUUGGAAACGUGUGCUAAUACCGUAUACGUCCUUCGGGAGAAAGAUUUAUCGGAGAUGGAUGAGCCCGCGUUGGAUUAGCUAGUUGGUGGGGUAAAGGCCUACCAAGGCGACGAUCCAUAGCUGGUCUGAGAGGAUGAUCAGCCACACUGGGACUGAGACACGGCCCAGACUCCUACGGGAGGCAGCAGUGGGGAAUAUUGGACAAUGGGCGCAAGCCUGAUCCAGCCAUGCCGCGUGAGUGAUGAAGGCCCUAGGGUUGUAAAGCUCUUUCACCGGUGAAGAUAAUGACGGUAACCGGAGAAGAAGCCCCGGCUAACUUCGUGCCAGCCGCCGCUGUAACAC